rnacentral:lncRNA from 1 species
AGACCGCCCAGGAGGCGGCGGCUAUUGUUCCCCGCAGGGGCCCGGGGCGCCCUGAAACGGGGUCCACGUCAGCCCGCUCCCGAGCGUGUCCUCAGGUCUAAGGACGGGUGGGGCUUCCUUUGUGUGUUCUCUGGAAGGGGCUGGGAUGGCGUCGUUGCUGCCCCAAGGGGUAACCGAGGGGGAUUGAGGGAAGAUGGUACCAGCUCCCUAGAGCUCAGCUCACCAGACCUACUCUUCCGCUCGACCCUUGCAGAGGAGGUGGGGACGGAUAUGGUAUUUGUAGGGCAGCGCUGUGAACAAUGGAGCCAUCAAAAAGGCCUUCUCCCAGCCUCCUCACCAACCACGGACAUUCCUGGCCCAACAAGACCUCCUGGCCAGGUUUUGAGCCCUGCUUCCCAGAUCUGGGGACCCUUCACCUGCCUCUACUACUGCAAAUGAUUGGAUAUUCGUCUGACUUGGCUCUUCCCUAAUGUGUGGAACUAAUUUUGUUCACUCUGUUUCAUGCUGGACCUGGCCUGAAAAUGGGCCCUUAUAUUGUCUUUGCACUUUCCAACUUGCCAAGUUUCUGAAAGAAGGACCAAAGUAAUGCCAAGAACUCCCAGAUGAAGAGGACCUUCCUUAGACCUAUAACAGAUUCACUACUUGACUUCAGAGGGAAGUUUCAGCUAAUUCUCAGGAAAAGGUCAAAACAGGCCUGUGACUGUCCCUUGAAUACUGAAGGUAUAAACAAGCUUCUGGCUCCUCCAGGUCAAGCAGAGGAACACUUUUAUUAGAAUGAAGGGUUACUUCUUUGUUAUUCAAACACACACCCACACACAUCCUCUGUAGUCUCCCUAAUGAAAAACCUCAACAGAUGGAGAGCCUGAGCUCCCAAGUCCGCAGGCUGAGAAGAUGCACUUCACUCAAGGGCCAGUGGGCUGGUACAGACUAGGGAAGAGAAAAGGGACAAAGGCUGCUAGUAUAGGUAAUCACUAUCUUUUAAUACUCCUAACACAUAGAAAUUCGAAAAAUCUUGUUCAGCAAUGUUAGCAGCCUGUGAGCCUCGGAAACUAAUUUGGCUGAUGUGUCUCUGAUAGGGAGCUUGGGGCUGCACCAAGGGGAAACAUUCUCCUCCUGUAUUCUCUCCUCUCUCUCGUUUGAAAGCCUGUACAAAGAAAUGGUACAAAUGGAUGGUUAACUUAAUGAUUCCAUCAGAGGCAGAUUUUUCUCUGUCAGGUCCCUGGAUAAGGUGGAGGUCUGAAAGCCAGGAGACAGAAUAUGUACUUAAUCGCCCUUUCUGACCUGCUUACCAGUGACCAGGACUACUCUCCAGGCCUUUCUUCUGCCACUUCCCCAUUCUUCCUGGCUAGUUCAGUUGGGUCUCAGCACUUCAACUCCUGGCUGGAUCCUGAGUUUUUCUUGGUUGCAGGGAAAGCUCUCACUGUCUGCAUCUCCUUCCCCACCCCCACCUCCCGUUUUGCAGCUGGCCAUUCUGGCUGCCUCACAGCUAUCCUGCCUUAAUUCAUAUUUGAUUGCCUGGACAGAACCACCUAGAAUGUCCAGACGACUGCCACCCCUCAGCCAUGGGCCUGAGAUCCUGCCCUGACCCCUUUCUUCAGACCCCAGGAGGACCCACAAUCUCCCUGAUCCCCACCUUCCCCAAAGUAGUCUCUAGGAAAAAAGCAGAGCUGGCUAAGGCCUGAGACAGAGCCAUUUCUUCCCCUUGGGCAAACGAGGUAGACCCUCCCAGAGACCAAUGCCGGAGAGGCCCGGAUCCGAGCUCCCUUUAUAUGGCCUCCCCCAUCACGGAUCCCGUGGGAAAACCUGACACACAAUGGCGCGGCUGCUCCGGGCACCCUCAACCCAGCGCCCUGCGGCAAGGCCUGGAGCAGCCUGGUGGUCUUGGUGCGCUCCCUUUGCCCUCCCCGCAACCCUCUGCGAGCACUCGUCCCAGGAGAGAGACCCUGGCUAGGGUGGAGGUUGCCUCCCGCAAAGGGCGCUGUUGCUGGGGCCUCCCCUCCCCCAUUCUCUUGUUUUUCUGCUUCUGAGACUCGGGAGGGAGGCGGCAGGCGCCUCCGCAGCCGAUAGAGCAGCUAUUGUGACCUUCCCUUGCAGAGCGGGAACCCAGCCGAGUGUGUACCGCCGGCGGUGGCGGGGGAGGAGGCGACUGUGUGUGCAAACCUCAGUCGGAGAGGGGGUGGCGCUGGGAAAUAAAGGUUUGCAACCUCAGGCAGUUGGGCCCUUCAGAGGGCGUUUGGUUGUGUUUAGACUCGGUUGCUUUCUAACACUAAUUGCAGGCUCAAAAGGAGCGGAAUUUAUUGCGAAGGCCAAGGCGGCUUGUUUAUAAUUUAUGAAGUUUUAAAUGGCUGUGCCGCGGGCCCCAACUUUCUCCUGGGCUGGCAGCCGCGCGGAAACGCGCCCUCCCCCGGCUCGCCGCCCACCCCCACCCACGCCCCUCAGAUGAGUCUCACGCCAAUGGCAGGAACAGAUCCGAGCUAUUAGAAGUCUCGGGAACCUCCAGAGAUGACAGAAGGUGGCAGAUUUGGUCCAAGCCCUCACCCCACUCGAGAGGAGGGCGUCGGGGAAAGCUGUGGCUGCCUGGAGAGGGAGCCCCUGAUCCCACACUUCCUUGGAGCCUGAGUGUGAGAGGAAGCUAAUGUCAGCCGGGCUAGACACCGUUUAAAGUCUAAUCCAUGAAACCCUAAGCCGCAAAUGACACUUGGGGCUUUGCAGACACCCGCAGACUCAGCAGAUACUCCUGCGGUAACACACUGUGCUGGAAAACGCCUGGAGCCAUGACACAUUACGUAUUUUUAUUAUUAUUUAUGGUAGGAAGAGGAGAUGAGGGAAAAUCGGGCUGAAUCUAAGCAGCCUGACAAUUCAGCUAGUUAAUAUUUAGCCAGUUAAGAAAGGUGGUUGUAAUCCCUGCAAGGCAGUGAGCUCUCCUUUGAUUUCUCUAAUAGCUUAAAAAAUAAUUUCUUACAAGACAAUUAGAAAUUCUGCCUAUGGAUGCAAAUUUCAUAGAAAACAAUGUUAAGCCUUGAAAGUGGGUAAAAUGUGCCUUCGAUUGAAGUCAUUUAUUCUGUUGAUACACUUCUACAACAUAUAUAUUUUAAACCUGCUCAGAUAAAGUGAAAUUUAGCAAAAGGAUAUCCCCUCCCACCCCCAAAUCUAACAUGCCAUUUUAAAAACAGCACAAAGGAACAAGGAAACUAAAUAUUAUUUUGAGCCAUCAUUACUUAGUGAAAUACAAACAUCCAAAUAGAAACGAUUGUUGUUCCACCAGAAGAUUAGAAGUUAAAUUAUUUCCACACAAUAGGAAUUUCACUUCGUGUCAUCGGGGAUGUAGUAGGAGUUGCAUUAUUUGUCAAACCAAAUAGAGAUGCGUGGGCUGACUUUGCUGAAAUACAAAAGAAUUGAACCUUAUCUGAAGGCGUUUUCUAAGUGGCCCCUCCCAUAGAAGCCGGGAAGUUGUCCACCCCUAGCAGAAGCCACAUUAAUAUUUACAAAAUGGUUAUAAAUCCUUGAAGACAUUUUUGCCCAUUUUGUAUAAGAAACAGGAGUAAACAAGGUGUUUAUACUUGUUAUGUUUCAUUAAUGAAAUAUUAUUACUUUACAUCUUGGGGAAUGUUUGUUUUCUUUAGAAAUGAACUAAUGAUCACUACAAAGGAAGAAUUCAUGACAGCAUUUCCUAGAGAAAAAGCUUAGGUACGCGUCUCCAAAUGAUGGUUUCUUUUUCUACACCUUAGCUUUUUCAUAGCUCAAUUCUUCUUACAACUUCUCUUGUGUUUUUUCUUUGAUUGUCAGUUUUCUUUCAAAGUUUAUUUUUUGUUACUUAAUGCAGAAAAGUGAGCUCUGGUCUCCCCAGUGUAAAAGUCGAUUGUGUCUAGAAAGAAGGCAGUAAAAACAGCAAAGCAGGCGCUGCUUUCAAAAAGCCCUGCCCAAAUCAUCCCGCCCAGAACCUUCUUAGGUUUGCAUCCUCAUUUCCCCCUCCCCUAAUUUCAAUAGCUGGAAAGUAAUCAAGUAUCCCGAGAACCAAUUUAUGCACUAGACUCCAAAUAAAUAAAAUAUUUUUUUCAAA